AUGAAUGGGAGAGGAACAGAGGGAGAGGGAGAGAAAUCCUCAAGCAGAACCCCUCCACACCCCACCUCGAGCACGGAGCCCGUCAUGGUGCUCAUCUCAGAACCCUGAGAACAUUACCUGAGCCAAAAUCAAGAGUCGGAUGCUUAACCGACUGAGCCACCCAGGUGCCCCUGUAAUUAUAAUAGGUUAUUAAGGUAUAGAGAUAGCAUAGAAGUGGCAAUUAAAAAUUUUGUCUUGAAGUGACCACAGAUGAUUAUAAUGCAGUUUUAUAAGGUCUCUGUUAGAAAUAGGUACACAGUAUGAAUAGAGCACAGAGGAGAAGACACUACCCAGAAAUGACUAAGGUUAGGAAGGGCAUUCAUUCCAGGCCGAGAGAAGUAGUGUACAAGAUUCUAAAAAAAA